CUCACCUGUGCUGAGGAAGGACGUGAUCAGACACGUCGGAUCAACAUGCGGAUGUCACUCGGUGAAGUCUGAACCAGUCAACCAAAUGAGACAAAUGUGACGGUCCAGUGUUCCAGUCAAAGAAGAAUCUUUUUGGUCACCAGCAAAGAAGCAAAAAACAACAAUGACUGAACUUAUAGGAGACGUUUUCAUUACAAACAUUGAAGAAGGACAUAAGUCCAAAUAUUAGAUCAGAUUGAGGAUGAAGUACAAGUGUACUAGCAGAGUCCUUGUGUUCCUUUGUAUUCUAAUCAGUUCUUGUGGUGGAAGGAGAAUUGCUACCAUUUCCCACACCUGUCAGAAUUUGCCAAUUGUCUUUUGGCCAUACCAGGUACAUUGAACUUUCUUAUUAGAGGAGUUACAGUUUUGCAGUAAAUGCAGAUGAUUUUCUGAUGUUUUUCAGAUGUUCUUGUAAGUUUUAGACUUUUAGUCUCAUUUAGAUACAGACUGAAAAAGUUAUGUCUGUUUUCUGACUCAUCUUUGACCAUAUUUAAUUUUUAAUUCAAUUUCCAGCAGUUAAUGUUUGCAUUCAUUAACAAUGAUUAAGACUUUGCUAGUCAUCUAGUCAGUCACUCAGGGUAAUACAGUGAUGCACCAUGUAAAUGUAUGUUGACUAUUGUUCAUUGUUUGACAAUAUGGACAAACUUGUAUCAAGAGGACUGAUUAUUAUAAUUAUGUUGAAGUUAAUAUUUUAUUUCUAGUUUGUGAUUUAAGUGUUUGUCACUGUUUGCAGUUGGAGGGUUGAAUAAUCAAGAUUUUCUAGUGAUCUAGAUCAUCUACUCACUGUAUAUGAUCUGCCAGAUCGUCUGGGAAAGCAAUGCAACAUUAUGAUUUAUGAAUAUAAAAGUUUGUAUGUUUCAACUUGUUUGACAAACAAUUAUGCAGUUUCACGCUUUUGUAUUGAGUUGGUGCCCAUAUCAUGUCAUGGACAUUCAUUCAAUUGCUCAAUAAGAUUGUUCCAGUGAUCUAGUCAAUAAGGGCAUACAGUUUCAAAUCGCAUUGUAUGUUUGACAAAUUUGACUCAAAGUGACAUGGGUGAAUUAUAGAGCUACUUGUUUGUUUAUUACAAUAGUGUUAUUGUUAUACAAUGUACAUGAAUAUCUUGAAAUAAAUAAUUUUAAAUCUUAA